rfam:Stegodyphus mimosarum contig104532, whole genome shotgun sequence.
AAAACGGCUCUUUCCAGAGCCACACACUACCUGCAAUGAGUUUUGU